rnacentral:rRNA from 1 species
GCGUUGUCCGGAUUUAUUGGGUUUAAAGGGUGCGUAGGCGGCUUUUUAAGUCAGUGGUGAAAGCCGAUCGCUUAACGAUCGAACUGCCAUUGAUACUGAGAGGCUUGAGUAUAGUUGAGGUAGGCGGAAUUGACAGUGUAGCGGUGAAAUGCAUAGAUAUUGUCAAGAACACCAAUUGCGAAGGCAGCUUACUAAAGUAUAACUGACGCUGAGGCACGAAAGUGCG